GUACCACAGACACUGGCUCCAGAUUUUGUUGAGAUGAUCAAGAGGAAAUCUAAUCUAAUGCCUCAUAUUGCUUUGGGAUUCCUUAUCUAAGGAGAUCCUUGGAGAGCUCCCAGGUAUAGCUGUCUGAAGAGUGUCACAUCAUCCACAAUCAUACCUGCCAGAGGGUUCAGCCACCAUAGAAGAAGUCUGAUUAUCCUGAGACUACCAGACGCUUAAGGAAGCCUAAGUGAGCCACUUGAAGAUGUCACAUGAAGGAGGAUCCAAGUGCUUUGAUUGACAGCCCCACAUGAAAUCCCAGCCUCUAGGCAGCACCAACUGCCACUGUCUUGGACAUUACGAAUCAGUUGCGCCUCCAGUGAGCCAUCUUGGACAUUCCAGACCAGUUGAGCCUCCAGAUGAUUGCAGCCACAGCUCAACCCACAUAAGGAAGAACUACCCAGGAAAUGUUUUCCACCUGCCUUAAGAAUAGUAGCAAUAUCACUGACCCCAUAAACAUGAGAAGACACAAAUUAGCUGAAGAAGCAUCAGCAUUUUUUUUAAAAGAUUAGGAAGUUACCCACACCCUCUCAUCAAGAACAGUGAUGCCAGAGUGGUCCAUCUUGUGUGCCAGGCUGCAGGCUGGUAUCCAGAGCCUGAGGCAAGCUGGGGAGAUCCCUAAGGACAGAAUUUAAAGCCACGCUCUGAAAACAACAGAGCAGGUAGAAACAACCUGUUCUUCACUGAGUCUUCAGUCCUGGUAACCAUGACCUCUUUGGUCCUCAACCCCAGGCUCAACAAGAAGAAGGAAAUAACUAUUUCUGUUGUCAGAAAUAAUAUAUGGAUAAUUUUGAAUAUUAUUUUAGCUGUAGUCUGCAUUCCCGUGGUUGUUUUUUUCAUUGUGGUGCAAAGACGAUCUAAAAAUCUGGCCAUAGGCAAUUACAAGUCUUUCUGGACCUGAAACAUAGACUGCCAGAUAUUUCUCCAGCAAAGAUGCGUUUAUUCAGGAUCAGCAGAGAAUUGCAAUUCAGGAUCUGCAACCAUGGUGAGCCACAUGCAAGUCCCCACACAGCAAAAGAAGAAAAGGGGAAAAGGAAGUUGGGAGGGCUGCAGUUAACAAAGAGUCCGUGGCUUUUCUUUGGCUGAGUCCUUGCCAGGAAAGGAGAGAAGACUUCUUCCUCUUGGGCUCUGUAGUGGUGCUGGGUGUGAGAGUUCCCCUUUCUGGUCUCCCAACUCUAUUUAAUGGAGGUUUCUGUUUAUUAAUUUUUUAUAGCUUUAUCUGGCUGCCCUCCCCACACCACACUUGGAGCACAGCCUGUGCAUUGCAGUCUCUGAAAGGAAUUGCAGUCAGUGACGCAGGCCCACCCCCACACCCCCACCCC